AGUUUCCAGUACUGGAUAUAACAUAGUAUACCAAUACAUUAUUCAAGGUUGUCUUGAAGACCAUAGCCAAUAAAAUAUGACAAAAUGUUUUCUUUAUCCAGGCUUGGAAGAACCAUAUAGAAUCAGUGAUGGUUAACAAUAUGUUUGGUCUUAAAAGUAAACACAAUGGUGACGGCUCAACUUUAGUCCCUAUCACUCUGAAACUCUAGUUCUUAUGGUCUUGAAAAAAUAUUAAUAGAAGCUGUGUGCGAAUGUAUGCCUGUGACACAUACAAACCCUAACUCAGCUGUUGCUUAAAAGCCACAUACAUUUUAUAAAUACUUCAAAUUAUGUAAAGAAAGCCCAGUUUGCAGAAUUCAAAAUUGGGUGAGGUUGCCGAGGAAUUUUUGCCAGCGACAGGAGCAGCAUCUUCUGGCUCUAUGAAAGCUAUCCAUCAGGGAAAAAGGUUCCAGGCCAUCACUAUGAAAGCAAGCCAGUAGGGAUGAAGCUUCAAUACUAUGGGAUGUAAUCAUCCAUCUCACCUAGAUGAGAACCCUGUGACCUACAAUAAUGACUAACAUGGCAAGACAUUUUCUGGAGACAUAUUGUGGCAUGAAUGUUCUGGGAGUGACCAAUGACUUUCUGGUUGGAUUUUGAGCUAAAUCUCCACAACAGAGCUCAUAUCUGGUACAAUUUACAGGGCCAUGAACAUAAAAUAUAGAUCAAAGGCCCUGGAUGAGAACCUACUAUUAUUAUUAUUCAGCUAAGAGGAUCUAGUAUCAACAUAACCCCUAAAGAUUUAUCAUUAUAUUAUAUAUAAAAGCAUCUCUCAAGUUUCAUCACAGAAGAUUACUUUGGCAGCAGAUCACAUUGUAAUCCUAUUAUUUGAAGCAAAAUAGAAAUAAUUGUUACAUAAGGGGGAUAUAUUAUAAUUUAGAGAAAUUAUUCCAGAUUUAAUUGAUACCUGCUGCCUCUGUUAACCAUAUGGAUGUCCAUGAUUGGAACUACAAUACUGUUCCUACUAUUUCUGGAAGCAAUGUUGAUGCUCAUGAUACUCUUACCACUGGAUACCAUGUUAAUUUCCCUGAUGUCUCCUGCAAUGAGUGACAUGGUAAGGUUGGUACCAGGGUUCUUCCUUGCCCAUGGAUCUGAUGUGAGGUUCUGUUUGUGCUACCUGAGACAAUGUUGAUACAAGAGUUCUGUCUUUCCAACAUGAAGAAUGUUAAUUUCCCUGAUCUCAAUACCAAAGUAAACUAUGUGGCUAUCCUUUCUACAUGCUGCCACCUGAAUCCUUGAGGAUUUCAUUGAUCUCUGCUGCUUCUGUUACACAUAUGGAUGUCCAUGAUUGGAAGCACAAUGACAUUAGUAUUUCUAGAAGCAAUGUUGAUGCUAAUUAUCUUCUUACUACUGGGCACCAUGUUGAAUUCUAUGAUCUCUCCUGCUACAAGUCACCACCUUAAGGUAAGUGUUUCUUGUUGCCAAUGUAUAGAAUGGUAAUUUUCAGGAUUUAACUAACUUUUGGUAACUAAGUUGAUACACAUAAUUCUUUUUGCCACCUGCAGCCAAGCUUAUCCCAUUGAUCACUAAAGCCUUUGAUAUUAAUGAAUGAAGAUCUCAUGCAUUCCUAUUGGUUGUAUAAAGCCCUGUUGAUGCAUGUGGUCCUUGUUACCAUGGGAUAACACCUUGAUUGCUAUGAAAUCUCCAUCCCCUUAUGACCUUACUAAUAUAAGUGUUCUGUGUUGGCAAUAUGAAGAAUGUAAUUUCCAAGAAUUGAAAUACUAACAGAAACUAGAUUAAUAUCCUGAAUACAUGCAGCUACCACUAAACAAGUUGAGUUCAUUAGUCCCAGCUGAGUCUCUUAAACAUGUGCAUGACCAUGAUUGGAACUACAAUGCUAUUCCUACUCCUUCUGGAAGCAAUGUUGAUGCUCAUGAUCUUCUUACCACUGGACACCAUGGUGACUUCCAUGAUCUCUCCUGCUACAAGUGACCACAUAAAUCUCUUAAACAUGUGCGUGUCCAUGAUUGGAACUUCAAUGCUAUUCCUAUUCCUCCUGGAACCAAUGUUGAUGCUCAUCAUCUUCUUAAGACUGGACACCAUGGUGACUUCCAUGAUCUCUCCUGCUACAAGUGACCAUAUUAAGGUAAGUGUACCUUUUUGGCAAUAUAUAGAAUGGUAAUUUCUGAGAUUUCAUAACCUUUGUUAACUUAGCUAAUAUCUGUAAUUCAUGCUGCUACCUGGAACCAUGAUGCUGUCAUUUACCGCUGCUUCCUCUGUUAACCCUGUUGUCUAUGAAAGGAACUGCCAUGCGUUCCUAUUGGUUCUGUAAGCCAUGUUGAUGCAUGUGGUCCUUGUUACCAUUGGAUGACAUCUUCAUUUCCAUGACCUCUCUGGCAGCUUAUGACCAUAUUAAUGUAAAUGUUCUGUGUUGCCAACAUAAAGAAUAUAAAUAUCCAAGAACUGAAAUAACAACUGAAACUAAGUUGAUAUCCAGAAUACUUGCUGUCACCUCCAAACAAACUGAAUUCAUUCAUCCCUACUGCAUCUGUUAAACACGUGGAUGUCCAUGAGUGGAUAGAUCAUGCAGCUCCUACUAUUUCUGGAAGCCACUUUGAUGCCAGGGUUCUUUCUAGCCCAUGGAUCUGAUGUUGAUGUCUAUCUGUCCUGCUACCUGAAACCAUAUUGGUGCAAGGUAUCUGUCUUUCCAACAUGAAGAAUAUUAAUUUCCCUGAUCUCAACUACCAAAUUAAACUAUGUGGCUAUCCAUUCAAAAUACUUCCACCUGAAAUGUUGUGGAUUUAAUUGAUUCCUGCUGCUUCUGUUACCCAUAUGGAUGUCCAUGAUUGGAACUAUAAUGCUUUUCCCACUACUUCUGGUAGCAGUGUUGAUGCUCAAGGUCUUGUAAACAUCUGGACACCAUGUUGAUUUCCAUGAUCUCUGUUUCUACAGGUGAUUAUGUUAAUGUAGACUUUCCUUGUUGCCAAUGUAUAGAAUGGCAAUUUCCAAGAUUUAACCAACUUUGGGUAACUAAGUUAAUACACAUAAUGCAUCCUCCCACCUGCAGCCAUGCUGAUGUCAUUGAUCACUGCUGCCCUUGCAAACCCUGCUGAUAUUAAUGAAUGGAGCUCCCCUGCAUUUCUAUUGGUUCUGUAAGCCAUGUUGAUGCAGGUGGUCCUUUAUACCAUGGGCUAACACCUUGAUUACCAUAAAUUCUCCAGCCCAUUAUAGCUAUAUUAAGGCAAGUGUUCCUUUUGGGGAAUGUGUAGAAUGGUAAUUUACAAGAUUUAACAAGCAUUUGUAACUAAGCAGAUAUCCAUAAUUCAUGCUGCCACUUCCAACCAUGCUGAUGUCAUUGAUCCCCUUUGCCAAUGUUAACCCUGUUGAUGUCUAUGAAUGCACCUGCAAUGCAUUCCGUUUUUUUUUUUUUCUUCUGUAAGCCAUGUUGAUGAAUGUGGUACUUGUUACCAUGGGAUAACAUUUUGAUUGCCAUGACCUCUCUGGCCCAUUAUGAUCAAAUUGAUGGCAGGGUUCUGUGUUGCCAUCAUAAAACAUGUAAAUUUCCAAGAAUUGAAAUACCAAGUGAAACUAAGGUGAUAUCCGGAAUAUUUGCUCUCACCUCCAAAAAACUGAAUUCAUUCAUCCCUGCUCCAUCUGUUAAAAAUGUGAAUGUCCAUGAGCAGACUUCCAAUGCUAUUCCUACUAUGUCUGGAAGCCACAUUGAUGCCAGGGUUCUUUCUUGCCCAUGGAUCUGAUGUUGAUGUCUAUCUGUCCUCCUACCAGACACCAUGUUGGUGCAAGUGUUCUGUCUUUCCAUCAUAACGAAAGUUAAUUUCUCUUAUCUCAACUAACAAAGAAAACUGUGUGGCUCUCCAUUGUACAUUUUGCCACCUGAAACACUGUGGAUAUAAUACAUCCCUACUGCUUCUGUUAACCGUGUGGAUGUCCAUGGUGGAGGCACAAUACCAUUCCUACUACUUCUGGAAGCAAUGUUGAUGUUCAUUAUCUUCUUAUACUGGGCACCAUGAUGACUGAUAUGAUCUCUCCUGCUAGAGUUCAUCACCUUAAGUGCUAUUCUUUCUCCUCCUGGAACCAAUGUUGACGCUCAUGAUCUUCUUACCACUGGACACCAUGGUGAAUUCCAUGAUCUCUCCUGCUACAUACAAGUGAUCAUAUUAAGUGAUAUUCCUACUCCUUCUGGAACCAAUGUUGAUGCUCAUGAUCUUCUUACCACUGGACAACAUGGUGACUUCCAUGAUCUCUCCUGCUACAAGUGAUCAUAUUAAGGGCGUGACAGGAAUUACUAUUGUUUCUGUAAGCCAUGUUGAUGCAUAUGGUCUUUGUUACCGUGGGAUAGCAUCUUGAUUGCCAUGACAUCUCUGGCCCCAUAUGACCAUAUUAAUGUAUGUGUUUUGUGUUGCCAACAUAAAGAAUGUAAAUUUCCAAUAACAAAAAUAUCAACUGAAACUAAGUUAAUAUACAGAAUACUUGCUGUCACCUCCAAACAAAUUGAAUUCAUUCAUCCCUGCUGCAUCUUUUAUACAUGCGGAUAUCCAUGAGCAGACAUACCAUGCUAUUCCUACUAUUUCUGGAAGCCACAUUGACGCCAGGGUUCUUUCUUGCCAUGGAUCUGAUGUUGAUGUCUAUCUGUUCUGCUACCUGAGACCAUGUUGAUGCAAGAGAUCUGUCUUUCCAACAUGAAGAAUGUUAAUUUCUCCGAACCCAAAUAACUAUGUGGCUAUCCAUUCUACGUGCUGCCACCUGAUACUUUGUGAAUUCAUUGAUCCUGGCUGUUUCCGUUACCAGUAUGGAUGUCCAUGAUUGGAACUAUAAUUCUUUUCCUACUACUUCUGGUAGCAAUGUUGAUGCUCAAGGUCUUAUAAACCACUGAACCCCAUGUUGAUUUCCAUGAUCUCUGUUGCUAGAGGUGAUGAUGUUAAUGUAAGUGUUCCUUGUUGCCAAUGUAUAGAAUGAUAAUUUCCAAGAUUAAACCAACUUUUGGUAACUAAGUUAAUACACAUAAUGCAUCCUCACACCUGCAGUCAUGCUGAUGUCAUUGAUCACUGCUGCCUUUGCAAACCCUGCUGAUAUUAAUGAAUGGAGCUCCCCUGCAUUUCUAUUGGUUCUGUAAGCCAUGUUGAUGCAGGUGGUCCUUUAUACCAUGGUUUAACAUCUUGAUUGCCAUAAAUUCUCCAGCACUUAUGGCCAUAUUAAGGCAAGUGUUCCUUUUGGGCAAUGUGUAGAAUGGUAAUUUCCAAGAUUGAACAAGCAUUGGUUACUAAGCAGAUAUCCGUAAUUCAUGCUGCCACCUCCAUCCAUGCUGAUGUCAUUGAUCCCCUUUGGCAAUGUUAACCCUAUUGAUGUCUGUGAAUAUGAAUGCACCUCCAAUGCAUUCCUGUUGUUUCUGUAAGCCAUAUUGAUACAUGUGGUCCUUGUUACCAUGGUAUAACAUCUUGAUUGCCAUGACCUCUUGGGCCCCUUAUGUCCAUAUUGAUGGAAGUGUUCUGUGUUGCCAACAUAAAGAAUGUAAAUUUCCAAGAAUUGAAAUACCAACUGAAACUAAGUUGAUAUCCAGAAUAUUUGCUGUCAUCUCCAAACAAAUUGAAUUCAUUUAUUCUGGCUGCAAUUGUUAAACAUGUGGAUGUCCAUGAGCAGACCCACAAUACUGUUCCUACUACUUCUGGAAGCCACAUUGAUGCCAGGGUUCUUUCUUGCCCAUGGAUCUGAUGGUGAUGUCUAUCUGUCCUCCUACCUGACACCAUGUUGGUGCAAGUGUUCUAUCUUUCCAUCAUAACGAAGUUAAUUUCUCUGAUCUCAACUACCAAAGUAAACUGUGUGGCUCUCCUUUGUACUUUUUGCUGCCUGAAACACUGUGGAUAUAAUACAUCCCUACUGCUUCUAUUAGCCAUGUGGAUGUCCAUCAUUGGAGGCACAAUACCAUGCCUACUACUCUGGAAGCAAUGUUGAUGCUCAUUAUCUUCUUACCACUGGGCACCAUGUUGAUUGCUAUGAUCUCUUCUGCUACAAGUCACCACCUUAAGGUAAAUGUUUGUUGUUGUCAAUGUAUGGAAUGGUAAUUUCCAAGAUUUAACUAACUUUUGGUAACUAACUUGAUACAUAUAAUUCAUACUGCCACCUGCAGCCACGCUGAUGUUAUUGAUCACUGCUGCCUUUAUAAACCCUUUUGAUAUUAAUGAAUGACGCUCCCAUGCAUUCCUAUUUUUUCUGUAAACCAUAUUGAUGCAUGUGGUCUUUGUUAUCAUGGGAUAACACCUUGAUUGCUAUGAAUUCUCCAUCCCCCUAUCAGCUUAUUUAUGUCAAUGUUCUGUGUUGGCAAUAUGAAGAAUGUAAUUUCCAAGAAUUGAAGUACUAACAGAAACUAAGUUAAUAUUCUGAAUACAUGCUGCUACCUGCAAACAAAUUGAGGUCAUUAAACACAACUGAGUCUAUUAAAAAUGUGCAUUUCCGUGAUUGGAACUAUAGUGCUAUUCCUACUCCUUCUGGAAGCAAUGUUGAUGCUCAUGAACUUCUUACCACUGGACACCAUGGUUGAUUACCAUGAUCUCUCCUGCUACAAGUGACAAUAUUAAGGUAAGUGUCCCUUUUUGGCAAUAUAUAUAAUGGUAAUUCCCAACAUUUAAUGAACCUUUGUUAACUUAGUGAAUAUUUGUAAUUCAUGCUGCCACCUGCACCCAUGCUGAUGUCAUUGAUCCCUGUUAACCUUGUCGAUGUUUAUGAAAGGGCGUGAAAGGAAAUACUAUUGUUUCUGUAAGCCAUGUUGAUUCAUAUUGUCUUAGUUUCCGUGGGAUAACUUUUUGAUUCCCAUGACCACUCUGUCCCCUUGUGACCAUAUUCAUGGAAGUGUUCUGUGUUGCCAGCAUAAAGAAUGUAAAUUUCCAAGAACAGAAAUAGCAACUGAAACUAUUUUGAUAUCUGGAAUACUUGUUGUCUCCUCCAAACAAAUUGAUUUCAUUCAUCCCUGCUGCAUUUGUUAAUCAUGCAGAUGUCCAUGAGCAGACAUACCAUGCUAUUCCUACUAUUUCUGGGAGACAUGUUGAUGCCAGGGUUCUUUCUUGCCCAUGGAUCUGAUGUUGAUGUCCAUCUGUCCUCUUACCUGAGACAUGUUGAUGCAAGAGUUCUGUCUUUCCAGCAUGAAGAAUGUUAAUUUUCCUGAUCUUUAAAACCAAAGUAAACUAUGUGGCUAUCCAUUCAAUAUGCUACCACCUGAAACCUUGUGGAUUUAAUUGAUCCCUGCUGCUUCAAUUACCGAUAUGGAUGUCCAUGAUUGGAACUAUAAUACUUUUCCUACUACUUGUGGUAGCAGUGUUGUUGCUCAUGGUCUUGUAAACCACUGGACACCAUGUUGAUUUCCAUGAUCUCUGUUUCUACAGGUGAUUAUGUUAAUAUAGACUUUCCUUGUUGCCAAUGUAUAGUUGAUACACAUAAUUCAUGUUGCCACCUGCAGCCAUGCUGAAGUCAUUGAUCACUGCUGCCUUUGCAAACCCUGCUGACAUUAAUGAAUGGAGCUCCCCUGCAUUCCUAUUGGUUCUGUAAGCCAUGUUGAUGCAGGUGGUCCUUUAUACCAUGGGUUAAUAUCUUGAUUGCCAUAAAUUCUUUAGCCCCUUAUGGCCAUAUAAAGGCAAGGGUUUCUUUUUGGCAAUGUGUAGAAUGGUAAUAUCCAAGAUUUAACAAGCAAUGGUUACUAAGCAGAUAUUCGUAAUUCAUGCUGCCACUUCCAUCCAUGCUGAUGUCAUUGAUCCCUUUUGCCAAUAUUAACCCUGUUGAUGUCUGUGAAUGUGAAUGCACCUCCAAUGCAUUCCUGUUGUUUCUGUAAGCCAUGUUGAUACAUGUAGUCUUUGUUACAAUGGUAUAACAUCUUGAUUGCCAUGACCUCUUGGGCCCCUUAUGUCCACAUUGAUGGAAGUGUUCUGUGUUGCCAACAUAAAGAAUGUAAAUUUCCAAGAAUUGAAAUACCAACUGAAACUAAGUUGAGAUCCAGAAUAUUUGCUGUUAUCUCCAAACAAAUUGAAUUCAUUUAUUCUGGCUGCAUUUGUUAAACAUGUGGAUGUCCAUGAGUGGGCCCACAAUACUGUUCCUACUACUUCUGGAAGCCACAUUGAUGCCAGGGUUCUUUCUUGCCCAUGGAUCUGAUGUUGAUGUCUAUCUGUCCUCCUACCUGACAGCAUGUUGGUGCAAGUGUUCUGUCUUUCCAUCAUAACGAUAGUUAAUUUCUCUGAUCUCAACUACCAAAGUAAACUGUGUGGCUCUCCUUUGUACUAUUUGCUACCUGAAACACUGUCCAUAUGAUACAUCCCUACUGCUUCUGUUAACCAUGUGGAUGUCCAUCACUGGAGGCACAAAACCAUGCCUUCUACUCUGGAAGCAAUGUUGAUGCUCAUUAUCGUCUUACCAGUGGGCACCAUGUUGAUUGCUAUUAUCUCUUCUGCUACAAGUCACCACCUUAAGGUAAAUGUUUGUUGUUGUCAAUGUACAGAAUGGUAAUUUCCAAGAUUUAACUAACUUUUGGUAACUAACCUGAUACACAUAAUUCAUACUGCCGCCUGCAGCCAUGCUGAUGUCAUUGAUCACUGCUGCCUUUAUAAACCCUUUUGAUAUUAAUGAAUGAAGCUCCUAUGCAUUCUUAUUUUUUUCUGUAAGCCAUAUUGAUGCAUGUGGUCCUUGUUAUCAUGGGAUAACACCUUGAUUGCUAUGAAUUCUCCAUCCCCUUAUCACCUUAUUUAUGUCAAUGUUCUGUGUUGGCAAUAUGAAGAAUGUAAUUUCCAAGAACUGAAUACUAACAGAAACUAAGUUAAUAUCCUGAAUACAUGCUGCUACCUCCAAACAAAUUGAGGUCAUUAAACACAACUGAGUCUAUUAAAAAUGUGCAUGUCGGUGAUUGGAACUAUAGUGCUAUUCCUACUCCUUCUGGAAGCAAUGUUGAUGCUUAUGAUCUUCUUACCACUGGACACCAUGGUUGAUUACCAUGAUCUCUCCUGCUACAAGUGACAAUAUUAAGGUAAGUGUCCCUUUUUGGCAAUAUAUAUAAUGGUAAUUCCCAAGAUUUAAUGAACCUUUGUUAACUCAGUGAAUAUUUGUAAUUCAUGCUGCCACCUGCACCCAUGUUGAUGUUAUUGAUCCCUGCAGCCUCUGUUAACCUUGUCGAUGUUUAUGAAAGGACAUGAAAGGAAUUACUAUUGUUUCUGUAAGCCACGUUGAUUCAUAUUGUCUUAGUUUCCGUUUGAUAACUCUUUGAUUCCCAUGACCACUCUGUCCCCUUGUGACCAUAUUCAUGGAAGUGUUCUGUGUUGCCAGCAUAAAGAAUGUAAAUUUCCAAGAACAGAAAUAGCAACUGAAACUAUUUUGAUAUCUGGAAUACUUGUUGUCUCCUCCAAACAAAUUGAAUUCAUUCAUCCCUGCUGCAUUUGUUAAUCAUGCAGAUGUCCAUGAGCAGACAUACCAUGCUAUUCCUACUAUUUCUGGGAGACAUGUUGAUGCCAGGGUUCUUUCUUGCCCAUGGAUCUGAUGUUGAUGUCCAUCUGUCCUCCUACCUGAGAUCAUGUUGAUGCAAGAGUUCUGUCUUUCCAGCAUGAAGAAUGUUAAUUUUCCUGAUCUUAACUACCAAAGUAAACUAUGUGGCUAUCCAUUCAAUAUGCUACCACCUGAAACCUUGUGGAUUUAAUUGAUCCCUGCUGCUUCCAUUACCGAUAUGGAUGUCCAUGAUUGGAACUAUAAUGCUUUUCCUACUACUUAUGGUAGCAGUGUUGUUGCUCAUGGUCUUGUAAACCACUGGACACCAUGUUGAUUUCCAUGAUCUCUGUUUCUACAGGUGAUGAUGUUAAUGUAGACUUUCCUUGUUGCCAAUAUAUAGAAUGGUAAUUUCCAAGAUUUAACCAACUUUUGGUAACUAAGUUGAUACACAUAAUUGAUGCUGCCACCUGCAGCCAUGCUGAAGUCAUUGAUCACUGCUGCCUUUGCAAACCCUGCUGACAUUAAUGAAUGGAGCUCGCCUCCAUUCCUAUUGGUUCUGUAAGCCAUGAUGAUGCAGGUGGUCCUUUAUAUCAUGGGUUAAUAUCUUGUUUGCCAUAAAUUCACCUGCCCCUUAUGGCUAUAUUAAGGCAAGUGUUCCUUUUUGGCAAUGUGUAGAAUGGUAGUUUCCAAGAUUUAACAAGCAUUGGUAAUUAAGCAGAUAUCCGUCAUUCACGCUGUAACCUCCAACCAUGCUGAGGUCAUUGAUCACUGUUGCCACUGUUAAUCCUGUUGUUGUCUAUGAAUGCACCUCCAAUGCAUUCCUAUUGGUUUUGUAAGCCAUGUUGAUGCACGUGGUCAUUAUUACCAUGGGAUAACACCUUGAUUGCUUUCAAUUCUCCAUCCACUUAUUGCCUUAUUUCUGUAAGUGUUCUGUGUUGCCUAUAUAAAGAAUGUAAUUUCCAAGAAUUGAUAUACUAUCAGAAACUAAGUUAAUAUCCUGAAUACAUGCUGCUACCUCCAAACAAGUUGAGGUCUUUAAUCCCAGAUGAGCCUCUUAAACAUAUGCGUGUCCAUGAUUGGAACUACAAUGCUAUUCCUACUCCUUCCGGAUGCAAUGUUGAUGCUCAUUAUCUUACCACUGGACAACAGGUUGAUUUCCAUGAUCUCUCCUGCUACAAGUUAUCAUGUUAAGGUAAGUGUUCCUUUUUGGCAAUACAUAGAAUGGUAAUUCUCAAGAUUUAAUGAACCUUUGUUAACUUAGCUUAUAUCUGUAAUUCAUGCUGCCACCUGCACCCGUGAUGUUCUCAUUAACCUCUGCUUCCUCUGUUAACUUUGAUGAAGUCUAUUAUAGGACCUGUCUAACAUUCCUAUUGUUUUUGUAAGCCAUGUUGAUUCAGGUGGUUCCUGUUACCAUGGGAUAACAUGUUGAUUGCCAUUAACUCUCUGGCUACUUAUGUCCAUAUUAAUGUAAAUGUUCUGUGUUGCCAACAUAAAGAAUGUAAAUUUCUAAGAAGGAAAAUACCAACUGAAACUAGGUUAAUACCUGGAAUACUUGCUGUCACCUCCAAACCAAUUGAAUUCAUUCAUCCCUGCUGCAUCUAUUAGACAUGUAUAUGUCCCUGAGCAGACAUACCAUGCUAUUCCUACUAUUUCUGGAAGCCAUGUUGAUGCCAGGUUCUUUUCUUGCCCAUGGAUCUAAUGUUGAUGUCCAUCAUUCCUGCUACUUGAGACCAUGUUAUGUCUUUCCAUCACAAAAAAGUUUGUUUCCCUGAUCUCAACUACUAUAGUAAACUAUGUGGCUAUCUAUUCAACAUGCUGCCACCUGAAACUUUGUGGAUUUAAUUGAUCCCUGCUACUUUUGUUACCCAUAUGGAUAUCUAUCUAAUAGGAGACCCUAUUGGUCCAAUGUUCUAUGCUGCCAAUAUGAUGAAUGUUAAUUGCCAUGAUCUCAGCUACCAUCUGAAACUGUUGAUAUUUACAUGCUGCCACCUACAACCUUGUUGAUGACAUUGAUGCCUGCUGUCCUCUUUAUCAUGUUCAUGAACCUCUCUGUGCUAUUCCUAUGGGUUUGAAGUCCAUGUUGAUGCCUUAUGGUAAGUUUUGCUCCUGGAUAAGAUGUUGAUGUUAAUAGUCUGACCUGCCACCUGAGACCAUGCUGAGGUAAGUUUUCUGUGUUGCCAACAUGAAGAAUAUUGAUUUCUAAGAGUUGAUCUGCCAUUGGAACUGAAGUUGAUAUCUGUAAUUCAUUCUGUCCCUGGAACCGUGUUGAUACCACUGAUUCUUGCUUCUUUUGUUUAUCAUGUUAAUUACCAUGAUCUGGCCUACCAUGCUGUCCCUACUGAUUCUGGAAGCCAUGUUGAUGCCUGUGGUUCUUGGUGCCCAGGGAUAUGAUAUUGAUGUCGAUGUUCUGUUCUGACUCCUUAAUCCAUGCUGAGGCCACCACAUUGAUGUCACUGAUCCUUGCUGUAUGUUUUAACUAUGUUGAUAUCCAUGAGCCAACCCUCCAUUCAAAACUAUGUUGAUGUCAUGGAUCCUUCCUACUUCUGCUAUGUUGCUGCCCAUGAUCUCACCUACCAUUCAACCCCUACUGCUUCAGGGAGCCAUGGCGAUGCCUGCAGUCCUUGUUGCCCCUGGAUGCGAUGUUGACAUCCAUGUUCUGUCCUUGCACCUGAGACCACAUUGAGGAAAUCAUGUUGAUGUCACUGUUCUUUGCUGCAUCUUCUAACCAUGUUGAUGUUCAUCAUCCAACCUACCGUCCAAAACUUUGUUGAUGUUACUGAUCUAUGUUGUAGCUGUCAACAUGUUGAGGUUACUGAACUUUGCUACCACCUGUAACCAUAUUGAUGUCUGCAGUGUACAGUGUCAUCAGAAACAAUGUUGAAGUCAUUCGUCCAUACUGCUGCCUGAGACCCAGUUCAAGCAACCAUGUUGAUGUGACUGAUUCUCGCUGCCUGUCUUAACCUGGCUGAUAUCCAUGAUUCGACCUGUUUUCUGAAACUUUGCUGAUGUCACUGAUCUUUGCUAUUGCUGUCAACCAUGUUGAUGCUACUGAAACUUGCUUCCGCUUGUAACCAUACUGCUGUCUGUAGUCUGUUAUCAUCUGAGACAAUGCAGAAAUCAGUGGUGCAUACUACCACCUGAGACCCAAUUCAGGAAACCAGCCUUGUUGAUGUCACUGAUCUUUGUUCCCUGUUUUGACCAUGUGGAUGUCCGUUAUCUGACUUAACAUCUGAAAUUAUGUUGAUGUCACUCAUUCAUGCUGCCGCUGAUAACCAUGUUUAUGGCCAUAGUCUUUGUUGGAAUCUUAGACCUUGUGGAUGUCCAUUGUCCAUGUUGCCACCUGAAUCUACGAUGAUGACCACGAUGAUUGUAGUCUGUGCUGCUGCUGGGGAUUAGGUCAAUAUAAAUGAUCUGAGCUGCCAACAGAAACUAUUUUGAUAUCAUUAAGCCAUCCUGGUGCUGGAGACCAUGUUGACAUCUUUGUCCUUGCUGCCACCAAAAACUAUGUUUAUGUUCAUGCUCUGGGCUGCAUGCUGAAGACCAGUUGAAUAUCCAUGACCCAGAUGCUGAUGAAGAAUGUGUCAACGUCUGUCAUUAGUACUGCCACAAGCAGUCAUCCUGAUAGUGAUCUGUGAUGCCUCCCGCAAACAUGUUAUGUUGGUGAUCUGUGUUGAUGUCAUGGACCAGAUGGAUGUCAGUUAUCCAAGCUGUCACCAGAAAUCUUGUGGACCAUGAUCUGUGCUGCUCCUGGAAACCCUUUAGAAGUCUAUGAUCCAUUCUGCUACUGGAAACCAUGUGGAAGUCCGAGAUCUGUACUGCCACUGACUUCUAUUGGCAGGGAGCUUCUUUUACAGUGGUAUCAAUGACUGUAGAAUCAUAACUGAAAUUCAGACAGACAUUGAAGGCUUCUGUGCCACCAUCCCUCAAAAAAGAAAAUCCAGACAGGAUCUUAUUGGAGAGUCCUUGAAAGUUGUAAUAAAAAUACUUAUCUGUA